UACGUAGGUGGCAAGCGUUGUCCGGAAUUAUUGGGCGUAAAGCGCGCGCAGGCGGUCCUUUAAGUCUGAUGUGAAAGCCCACGGCUCAACCGUGGAGGGUCAUUGGAAACUGGGGGACUUGAGUGCAGGAGAGAAGAGUGGAAUUCCACGUGUAGCGGUGAAAUGCGUAGAUAUCUGGAGGAACACCGGUGGCGAAGGCGACAUCCUGGACCGGUAUUGACGCUGAGGCGCGAAAGCCAGGGGAGCAAACGGGG
rnacentral:rRNA from 1 species